ACUGUGAAGAAACUUGAGUGUUCAAAGCAAGCUUUUAAAAUUCCGCUUGAAAAAUUCAGCAUGGGAUAAUGAAUAAGCUAAAAAACGUAACCAUUUUUCGCCGAUUUUCGGUUUUAGAAAGCGUUUAAGAAUGAUUGAUAGGGGCGGUCGAGGGCACUCGUACCCAGAGGUCAGAGGUGAAAUUCUUGGAUUCUCGGGAGACGAACUUAUGCGAAGGCGUUUGCCAAGGACGCUUUCUUUGAUCAAGAACGAAAGUUAGGGGAUCGAAGACGAUCAGAUACCGUCGUAGUCUUAACCUUAAACGAUGCCGACUGUAGAUUAGAAGACGUUAAUACAUUCUUUUCUGUCAAAAGAAAAGAAAAAACUGACUCCUCUAGCAUACUGUGAGAAAUCACAAGUGUUUGGGUUCCGG
rnacentral:rRNA from 1 species